rnacentral:misc_RNA from 1 species
GAAAUGCGAUAAGUAAUGUGAAUUGCAGAAUUCAGUGAAUCAUCGAAUCUUUGAACGCACAUUGCGCCCGCCAGUAUUCUGGCGGGCAUGCCUGUUCGAGCGUCAUACAACCCUCAGGCCCCCGGGCCUGGCGUUGGGGAUCGGCGGAAGCCCCCUGCGGGCACAACGCCGUCCCCCAAAUACAGUGGCGGUCCCGCCGCAGCUUCCAUUGCGUAGUAGCUAACACCUCGCAACUGGAGAGCGGCGCGGCCACGCCGUAAAACACCCAACUUCUGAAUGUUGACCUCGAAUCAGGUAGGAAUACCCGCUGAACUUAAGC